rnacentral:rRNA from 1 species
GGGGAAUUAGGGUUUGAUACCGGAGAGGGAGCCUGAGAAACGGCUACCACUUCUAUGGAAGGCAGCAGGCGCGUAAAUUACCCAAUGUCGAAUCGGCGAGGUAGUGACAAGAAAUAAUAACUCGGGGUCUUUUGACUUUACGAGAUUAAAAUGAGAACAAUUUAAAAAUCUUAACGAGGAACAAUUGGAGGGCAAGUCUGGUGCCAGCAGCCGCGGUAAUUCCAGCUCCAAAAGCGUAUAUUAAUGUUGUUGCAGUUAAAAAGCUCGUAGUCUAUCUUCUUAGAGUGCGGGGGACCGGCUACGCCGUCCCAAGCAAUCUAAUCUGCCCGAAAGCCUUGUCUGUCCUUCGCUGGUCAACAAGGUGUCUUGGGCUCUUUACUGAGAAAAAAUUAGAGUGUUCAACGCAGGCAAUCGCAGAGAAUACACAAGCUUGGAAUAAUAGAAUAAGGCUAAAGUCUUUUUGUUGGUUAUGAGGCUUUAGUAAUGGUUAAUAGGAACAGACGGGGGCCUUAGUAUUUAAUUGUCAGAGGUGAAAUUCUCGGAUUUAUUAAGGACUAACUAGUGCGAGAGCAUUUGCCAAGGAUGUUUUCAAUUGAUCAAGAACGAAAGUUAGGGGAUCAAAGACGAUCAGAUACCGUCCUAGUCUUGACUAUAAACGAUUCCGACUAAGGAUCGGAGAGGUAACUUCAGCCUCUUCGGCACUUUUUGAGAAAUCAAAGUCUUUGGGUUCCGGGGGAAGUAUGGACACAAGUCUGAAACUUAAAGGAAUUGACGGAAGGGCACACCAGGAGUGGAGCCUGCGGCUUAAUUUGACCCAACACGGGAAAACUUACCAGGUCAAGACAUGGGUGGGAUUGACAGAAAUGAGAGCUCUUUCUUGAUUCUAUGGAAGGUGGUGCAUGGCCGUUCUUAGUUGGUGGAGUGAUUUGUCUGGUUAAUUCCGUUAACGAACGAGACCUUAACCAGCUAAACUAGAAGUACUUUAACUAAGGUAUAUUCUUCUUAGAGGGACUAUGUGUUCAAGCACAUGGAAGUUUGAGGCAAUAACAGGUCUGAGAUGCCCCUAGACGUCCUGGGCCGCACGCGCGCUACAAUGACACAUUCAACGAGUACUUCCUGCUCUGACAAGAGUCGGGUAAUCUUUAUAGCAUGUGUCGUGCUGGGGAUAGUCCUUUGCAAUUAUAGGACUUGAACUAGGAAUUCCU